rnacentral:rRNA from 1 species
AGGGAGAACGGGACUUAUUAGCUAAUAACUAGAGGUUAUUGAUGUCUACCUAAAGAAUAUAGCACCGGCUAACUUCCGUGCCAGCAGCCGCGGUAAUACGGAGGGUGCAAGCGUCAAUCGGAAUUACUGGGCGUAAAGGGCGCGUAGGUGGUACUUGUAAGUUGGGUGUGAAGAUCCCCGAGGCUCAACCUGGGAAUUGCAUACCAAAACUGGAGUGCUAGAGUGUGGUAGAGGGUAACGGAAUUUCGUGGUGUAGCGGUGAAAUGCGUAGAUAUCAGAAGGAACAUCAAUGGCGAAGGCAGCUACCUGGGCCAACACUGACGCUGAGGCGCGAAAGCAUGGGGAGCAAACAGGAUUAGAUACCCUGGUAGUCCAUGCUAUAAACGAUGACAACUUGUNGAUGGGGGCAUUGGCCUUCGUUGACGGAGCUAACGCAUUAAGUNGUCCGCCUGGGGAGUACGGUCGCAAGGCUGA